GGAUAGCUUAGUUGGUUGGAGCGUGGUACCGGUAACGCCAGGAUUGCAGGUUCAAUCCCCCGUGAGGGACA